AGAUUGAACGCUGGCGGCAUGCCUAACACAUGCAAGUCGAACGGGAGUAGCAAUACUCUAGUGGCGGACGGGUGAGGAAUACGUAGGAAUUUGCCCUUAAGUGGGGGAUAACCCGGGGAAACCCGGAUUAAUACCGCAUGACCUCGAAAGAGCAAAGUGGGGGAUCGCAAGACCUCACGCUUUUGGAGAAGCCUACGUCGGAUUAGCUAGUUGGUGAGGUAAUGGCUCACCAAGGCGACGAUCCGUAACUGGUCUGAGAGGAUGAUCAGUCACACCGGAACUGAGACACGGUCCGACUCCUACGGGAGCAGCAGUGGGGAAUAGUUGGACAAUGGGCGCAAGCCUGAUCCAGCAAUGCCGCGUGUGUGAA
rnacentral:rRNA from 1 species